UUUGUAUUUGGGUUUGGUACGUUUAGAAGGUUGGCCCGUUAGGCAUCGUCACCCUCAAACCGUGUAGCCGCAACUGAUUUCUAGGAUUCAUAGCAUGCUGCGAAAUCUGCUUAGAUCGACCAUCGAUGGAGGUUACGAGCUUCUGAGAAAGACGCGUCUUCGUUACCCAUGGUUGCGUCUGCGUCGGUUCCUUUGGUGUCCUUUCGUUCUCGAUUCAUCUCCUAGCAUGCGUCACAUGUUCCAUUAAUCCAUUGUUUCAAUGUCGUUAAGGAGAUCUUAACUAGUCAAUACAUUGCAACCACGAUCGGUCAUUCAAUGAGUCUUAUCCCUCUUCCAAGCUGUGGAGAUCCACCAAUAAAAAAAAAUCUUACUGGAGCAUUCGGAUCUAGAUCCGGCGGAGUUGGGCUGUUCCUGUAAGCAACAUGGCUUGAAUCGCCUCAUAUCGGUGGUGGAGACGGCAACUAACAAAGCUAACUCACGAGAAUGCCGGUGGUUUCACGUCGUUGAUUAAGAUUCCUCCUACACAAGAAGUGGAGCUUCUCUGUUUCAGUGAUUCGUUGUCUUCUCAAGCGGCGGCCGACCAUUUAGACAUCUCUCCACUGCCGCUUCACUCUUACUGGACAUUGAUUUUCCCUUCUAACUCAGCCAUCUUGGAUCGUGCAGUUAGCUUCUCGGUGAUUGCUAAUGAGCAGCAGCAAAACGGAAACGUCUCCGGUGAACUAAUACUACGAGCUCAGUACCUUAUAACUCCAAAUCUAAUCUGGAUAGAGUCAAAACGUAAUAAAAAUUAACAACUACUAUAUAGAUCAUUUUCUGAUUAUCAGGUAUGCAACACCCGUAACAAGUGACUGGUGAGUGUCUCUGUGAGGAUUUUGGAUGAGUUUUGUUUUUUUUGGAUUGAUUUGUUAGAUACGCAUAGCGUGCAUAAUCUUGGUGAUUCAUAGUUCUUCUAUUUCUUAUAAUGCAGUGACUGGUGAGUGUCUAUGGAAGGAUUUCACCAUUAUUAAAGGCUUCAGUGAAAGUGUCAGCUUACUCUAAAAAAAAAAAAAUUAUAAUAAGCAUUGUUUAGGAGUUCAUGUUUCCAAACAGCUUUGUUUCUACUUUCUAUUUAUCUAUCAAUGUUUCAACGUGUCACAAGUGGAUGAUCAGUGUCAUAGAUAAUAGAAUUGUUAUAUACCCU